rnacentral:rRNA from 1 species
GAGUAGGGCGGGACACGUGGUAUCCUGUCUGAAUAUGGGGGGACCAUCCUCCAAGGCUAAAUACUCCUGACUGACCGAUAGUGAACCAGUACCGUGAGGGAAAGGCGAAAAGAACCCCGGCGAGGGGAGUGAAAAAGAACCUGAAACCGUGUACGUACAAGCAGUGGGAGCCUCUUUAUGGGGUGACUGCGUACCUUUUGUAUAAUGGGUCAGCGACUUAUAUUCUGUAGCAAGGUUAACCGAAUAGGGGAGCCGAAGGGAAACCGAGUCUUAACUGGGCGUUAAGUUGCAGGGUAUAGACCCGAAACCCGGUGAUCUAGCCAUGGGCAGGUUGAAGGUUGGGUAACACUAACUGGAGGACCGAACCGACUAAUGUUGAAAAAUUAGCGGAUGACUUGUGGCUGGGGGUGAAAGGCCAAUCAAACCGGGAGAUAGCUGGUUCUCCCCGAAAGCUAUUUAGGUAGCGCCUCGUGAAUUCAUCUCCGGGGGUAGAGCACUGUUUCGGCAAGGGGGUCAUCCCGACUUACCAACCCGAUGCAAACUGCGAAUACCGGAGAAUGUUAUCACGGGAGACACACGGCGGGUGCUAACGUCCGUCGUGAAGAGGGAAACAACCCAGACCGCCAGCUAAGGUCCCAAAGUCAUGGUUAAGUGGGAAACGAUGUGGGAAGGCCCAGACAGCCAGGAUGUUGGCUUAGAAGCAGCCAUCAUUUAAAGAAAGCGUAAUAGCUCACUGGUCGAGUCGGCCUGCGCGGAAGAUGUAACGGGGCUAAACCAUGCACCGAAGCUGCGGCAGCGACACUAUGUGUUGUUGGGUAGGGGAGCGUUCUGUAAGCCUGUGAAGGUGUGCUGUGAGGUAUGCUGGAGGUAUCAGAAGUGCGAAUGCUGACAUAAGUAACGAUAAAGCGGGUGAAAAGCCCGCUCGCCGGAAGACCAAGGGUUCCUGUCCAACGUUAAUCGGGGCAGGGUGAGUCGACCCCUAAGGCGAGGCCGAAAGGCGUAGUCGAUGGGAAACAGGUUAAUAUUCCUGUACUUGGUGUUACUGCGAAGGGGGGACGGAGAAGGCUAUGUUGGCCGGGCGACGGUUGUCCCGGUUUAAGCGUGUAGGCUGGUUUUCCAGGCAAAUCCGGAAAAUCAAGGCUGAGGCGUGAUGACGAGGCACUACGGUGCUGAAGUAACAAAUGCCCUGCUUCCAGGAAAAGCCUCUAAGCAUCAGGUAACAUCAAAUCGUACCCCAAACCGACACAGGUGGUCAGGUAGAGAAUACCAAGGCGCUUGAGAGAACUCGGGUGAAGGAACUAGGCAAAAUGGUGCCGUAACUUCGGGAGAAGGCACGCUGAUAUGUAGGUGAAGUCCCUUGCGGAUGGAGCUGAAAUCAGUCGAAGAUACCAGCUGGCUGCAACUGUUUAUUAAAAACACAGCACUGUGCAAACACGAAAGUGGACGUAUACGGUGUGACGCCUGCCCGGUGCCGGAAGGUUAAUUGAUGGGGUUAGCGGUAACGCGAAGCUCUUGAUCGAAGCCCCGGUAAACGGCGGCCGUAACUAUAACGGUCCUAAGGUAGCGAAAUUCCUUGUCGGGUAAGUUCCGACCUGCACGAAUGGCGUAAUGAUGGCCAGGCUGUCUCCACCCGAGACUCAGUGAAAUUGAACUCGCUGUGAAGAUGCAGUGUACCCGCGGCAAGACGGAAAGACCCCGUGAACCUUUACUAUAGCUUGACACUGAACAUUGAGCCUUGAUGUGUAGGAUAGGUGGGAGGCUUUGAAGUGUGGACGCCAGUCUGCAUGGAGCCGACCUUGAAAUACCACCCUUUAAUGUUUGAUGUUCUAACGUUGGCCCCUGAUCGGGGUUGCGGACAGUGUCUGGUGGGUAGUUUGACUGGGGCGGUCUCCUCCUAAAGAGUAACGGAGGAGCACGAAGGUUGGCUAAUCCUGGUCGGACAUCAGGAGGUUAGUGCAAUGGCAUAAGCCAGCUUGACUGCGAGCGUGACGGCGCGAGCAGGUGCGAAAGCAGGUCAUAGUGAUCCGGUGGUUCUGAAUGGAAGGGCCAUCGCUCAACGGAUAAAAGGUACUCCGGGGAUAACAGGCUGAUACCGCCCAAGAGUUCAUAUCGACGGCGGUGUUUGGCACCUCGAUGUCGGCUCAUCACAUCCUGGGGCUGAAGUAGGUCCCAAGGGUAUGGCUGUUCGCCAUUUAAAGUGGUACGCGAGCUGGGUUUAGAACGUCGUGAGACAGUUCGGUCCCUAUCUGCCGUGGGCGCUGGAGAACUGAGGGGGGCUGCUCCUAGUACGAGAGGACCGGAGUGGACGCAUCACUGGUGUUCGGGUUGUCAUGCCAAUGGCACUGCCCGGUAGCUAAAUGCGGAAGAGAUAAGUGCUGAAAGCAUCUAAGCACGAAACUUGCCCCGAGAUGAGUUCUCCCUGACCCUUUAAGGGUCCUGAAGGAACGUUGAAGACGACGACGUUGAUAGGCCGGGUGUGUAAGCGCAGCGAUGCGUUGAGCUAACCGGUACUAAUGAACCGUGAGGCUUAACCUU